GAAUUGUGUUUGAGAAAAAAAACGACUGUUCCAAAUGACUUCAUGACUCAAGGAAACACUUUGCUGCACAGAUGAAUCUGCUUCUGAGAGAAAGCUAACGUAAGCAGGAUUAGGUAUUUGAGAAAAGCAUUCACCAAAGGAAAAUGUAUGUGAAACACGGGGCUGGUGGCCCCCUUAUGACAACGAGGCCAAAAGUGAGGGACUGGCCCGCAGAGCAGAUAAAAGUACGGUAACGAGAAGCUGUAUGUAAUUGCUGGUAAAACACAGGGCGCAUCGGUAUCCAUCCACCACCACCCAACGCUGGGAAAACACGGUCCGAAGGAGGUGCCCUCUGCUAGGCUGGGUUUUUGAGGUUUGCCGCAAGAAGCACAUUCACUUUGAACCCAAGAACCUAAGUUCUGUUCCAAGAGGCUUUCCAACCAGUAUCGACUGUGUUUCAGAUCGAGUUGCUGCUGAGAUAAGGAUGGCUGGGAAGGGUAUUCUCUGAAUAGCAAGGUGUUAGAGCUGGCUUCUUCAAAGUACCUAUUUCCUCUCCAGCUGGUAGUUCUUUUAGGUGUAUGUGAUUUUGAAAAAAUUAAGAUGACAUUCACAGAACAUAAAACUCACCAUUUGAACACAUUAUUGACUGAGGGAGUUUUGCAGAAACCAAUGCCUGUGGUCACCACACAUCUCUAGCCAACAACGCGCUAAGCGGCCAACCCGGUGGCCUUUGGUAUAGCCACAACCGUGCGCAGCCACUACCACCGCCUGAUUCCAAGCGUCUCACCGUCCCCGGACCUCGUCGCCCACACACAGGCAGUCACUCCCGUUUCCCGCCCCGCCAUCCCCGGGAACCGCUGACCUACUUCUGUGUCUGUGGAUGUGCCUAUUGGAACAUUUCACAUAAUUGGGAUUAUACAACAUGUGGCUUCUUGUGUCUGGCUUCUACCUUUUUUAAAACCUUUUUAUUUUAUACUGGGGAACCGGGGCUUCCCAGGUGGCGCUAGUGGUAAAGAACCCGCCUGCCAGUGAGGGAGACAGGAGACGAGGGCUCGAGCCCCGGGUGGGGAAGGUCCCCUGGAGGAGGGCCUGGCCACCCACUGCAGUGCUCUUGCCUGGAGAACCCCACGGACAGAGGGGCCUAGCGGGCUACGUCCCCAGGUCACAGAGUCGGACGCCCCUGAGGGACCGGGCACGCAGCGGAUCAACAGUGCUGCGGGCGUUUCAGAUGAACAGCAAAGGGACCCGGGCUGCUCGUCCUCUUCACUGGCGGUUCUUAGACCAUUCCAAAAGGGCGGUCAUUCCACGGACACCAAGCCAAGCUGCUGAGGAUCCCUGGCCUGCCCCUGACCGCACUUCAGUUUCUAGAGCUUCUCUGAUCCCGUGA
rnacentral:lncRNA from 1 species